GACGAACGCUGGCGGCGUGCUUAACACAUGCAAGUCGAACGGAAAGGCCCUGCUUUUGUGGGGUGCUCGAGUGGCGAACGGGUGAGUAACACGUGAGUAACCUGCCCUUGACUUUGGGAUAACUUCAGGAAACUGGGGCUAAUACCGGAUAGGAGCUCCUACUGCAUGGUGGGGGUUGGAAAGUUUCGGCGGUUGGGGAUGGACUCGCGGCUUAUCAGCUUGUUGGUGGGGUAGUGGCUCACCAAGGCUUUGACGGGUAGCCGGCCUGAGAGGGUGACCGGCCACAUUGGGACUGAGAUACGGCCCAGACUCCUACGGGAGGCAGCAGUGGGGAAUAUUGCACAAUGGGCGGAAGCCUGAUGCAGCAACGCCGCGUGCGGGAUGACGGCCUUCGGGUUGUAAACCGCUUUCGCCUGUGACGAAGCGUGAGUGACGGUAAUGGGUAAAGAAGCACCGGCUAACUACGUG
rnacentral:rRNA from 1 species